GGUAGGUUAUUUUUCUCUGUGAAUCUCCGACGGUGUUUUGAGAUUUUGCGUAGGGUUUCGGCAUUUUAGAGUACUGAUUGAAUUGAAAAGAUGUCAGGGAAGGUUCAAGAUUGUCGAAUUUUUGUUGGUGGGUUAUCUUGGGACGUAACUGAACAUCAGCUCGAAGAUGCCUUUAGUCCUUUCGGUAAAAUUGUUGAUUGUCAGGUUAUGCUGGACAGAGACACGGGCCGCCCUCGUGGAUUUGGGUUUUUAACAUUUGCAGACCGCCGAGCAAUGGAGGAUGCAAUAAGAGAAAUGGAUGGUGCAGAGGUUGGUGAUAGGGUGAUAUCGGUGAACAAGGCGCAACCAAAGAUGGGAAGUGAGGAUCCUGAUCAUGGCUAUGGUGGAGGUUACAUAUCAGGUGGCAGGGCGAGCUAUGGUGGGGGUAAUAGGUCAGUUGGGCAAGACACUUGCUUCAGCUGUGGUCGCCCUGGCCAUUGGGCUAGAGACUGUCCAUUGGAAGGAGGUGGCCGGGGUGCUCGACCACUAACACCCCCUUCUCGUUCUAGGUAUGGUGGCACACGUGGGGAUAGGUUUGGAAGUGACCGUGAUAGGUACAUGGAUGACCGAUAUGAUAGAGGGAACCAUGCUGAUAGGGAGCGCUAUGACAGCAGAUAUGAGAGUCGUGAUCGAUACGCUAGCGACAGGUACCCUCCUGGAGGCGAUCGCUUGGGCAAUAGGUAUGGGAGUUCUGACCGCUACCCUCAGAGUGGCUAUGGCAAAGAAAAAGGGUUUGACAGAGAUGUGGGUGGAAGAUAUGAAGGUGGAGGACCAGCACGAUAUGAGGGAAGAAGCUACAGAGAUAGAGCAGGACCUUAUGAUCGCCCUGGAAGGGGAGGACGUCCACCUUCCUUUGACCGUUACUGAGAUGAAUAAGCACAUACAUGUUGAACUUUAGUUGAUCUCUGUGGUAGUAUGGUGGGUACGGAGCACACACUAGGAUAAAUGUGUGGAAGCAGUUAGUAGUGCAUGAGUGACAAGUAGAGUAAAUGAGCAGAGCUAUGUUUUUUCAGUGAAUAUUGUAUGCUUUAUAAAAGAGGGAGCUUCCUCUAUUGGAAUGCAUUAUGGUAU
rnacentral:misc_RNA from 1 species